rnacentral:SRP_RNA from 1 species
GCCGGGCGCGGUGGCGCGUGCCUGUAGUCACAGCUACUCUGGAGGCUGAGGUGGGAGGAUCUUGAGCCCAGGAGUUCUGGGCAGUAGUGCGCUGUGCCGAUCGGGUGUCUGCACUAAGUUUGGCAUCAAUAUGGUGACCUCCUGGGAACGGGGGACCACCAGGUUGCCUAGGAGGGGUGAACCGGCCCGGAAUGGAAACAGAGCAGGUCAAAACUCCUGUGCUGAUCAGUAGUGGGAUCGCGCCUGUGAAUAGCCACUGCACUCCAGCCUGGGCAACAUAGCGAGACCCCGUCUCU